CUUUUACGUGUCCACUCUCCUCAGGAG
rnacentral:piRNA from 1 species